AUGGACUGAAAAUGAUUCCAGGCCUGCUGGUGGUUUGGGGUCAGAUAACUGUGCCUAUAGUACUGUGGUGCGUUUAGCUUAUUGCAUGCAUCUUUUGGUUGCAGCGUAAUAAAACCCAUGUACCAACAAGU